rnacentral:lncRNA from 1 species
CCCCAGGCAUGCCUGACCUCAGGGAAUCGAACUUCGAAGUAUUUCUUGACCAAUGGACUGCAGGUCCUGUUUAACCAGCACACAGGUUUGUGGACUUGUCCUUUCCUAUCCAAGUGUUAGUUUUCAGUCCUUGAUUUGGAGCAGUGAACAACUCUGGACUUUUUCCCCUUGGCAAAACCACUCAGUAAAUUUCCUCUGUGAUCUACAUUCCCUUGCCUGGUCAGCCAAACACAAAUGUUCUAUAAAUAUUUGGAGAACAAAGUCUACAUAUUUUUGACCUUCACGUAAAUGCUAUCACAUUGUUUGUUCUUUUGUAAACAUGAAAUCUGCCUCAGCAGAGUCCAUCUGUAGGAGGUAGGGUGUGUGGAUAUGUCUGAUGAAGUAAUGGGGAAGGCCAAAGAAAAGUCUCCCUGCCUGAAGGCCAAAAUGUCUCCUAUUAAGAACUUAAAGUGCACUAUCAAACAUCAGCCAAAAAAAAGGAAAUAAGAGUUUCCUGGACAAGUCUACUAAACUGGUAGCAAGAAACAAUGCAACCUACUACAGAACAACCCAUCCUACAAGAAGAAAAUCCAGGCAUCAACUUCGGGAUCCAGAACAAAACCUAAAUUACCAAAGAGAAGUGAUUCUA